AUGGCGACCACGGACGAGCACGGGAGCGGUGGCAAACGACACCGAUCGAAGGGAAAAAAAGUGGGAUUGGGAGAGGAGCUCAUCACGGGGAGGAUGGCGCGCUCGGGAGGUUGGGGAGAGCUUGAUGGCGACGGAUUUGACGAAGGCGGCCGACGUCCCGAGGUUGAAGAAGACAAUCAAGGCGAUUUUACAUCUUCGUUUUGGACCAUUUGUUGGAGUUGCUCUUUUACAUCUCUGAUUUGGACCAUCUGUUGGAGUUGA
rnacentral:rRNA from 1 species